CCUACGGGCGGCAGCAGUGGGGAAUAUUGCGCAAUGGGCGAAAGCCUGACGCAGCGACGCCGCGUGAGGGAUGAAGGUCUUCGGAUCGUAAACCUCUUUCAGCAGGGAAGAACGGUCACUGUGCUAAUCAGCAGUGAAUUGACGGUACCUGCAAAGGAAGCACCGGCUAACUCCGUGCCAGCAGCCGCGGUAAUACGGAGGGUGCGAGCGUUAAUCGGAAUUAUUGGGCGGAAAGCGCUCGUAGGCGGUAUGUCAAGUCAAGGGUGAAAUCCCCGGGCUCAACGUGGGAACUGCCUUUGAAACUGGCAGACGUGAGUGUGUGAGAGGAUAGUGGAAUUCGAGGUGUAGGAGUGAAAUGCGUAGAUAUCAGGAGGAACAUCAGUGGCGAAGGCGACUAUCUGGCACAUAACUGACGCUGAGGAGCGAAAGCGUGGGUAGCAAACAGGAUUAGAUACCCCAGUAGUC
rnacentral:rRNA from 1 species